rnacentral:rRNA from 1 species
UGGCCUUGACAUACUAAGAACUUUCCAGAGAUGGAUUGGUGCCUUCGGGAACUUAGAUACAGGUGCUGCAUGGCUGUCGUCAGCUCGUGUCGUGAGAUGUUGGGUUAAGUCCGCAACGAGCGCAACCCUUUUCCUUAUUUGCCAGCGGGUUAAGCCGGUAACUUUAAGGAUACUGCCAGUGACAAACUGGAGGAAGGCGGGGACGACGUCAAGUCAUCAUGGCCCUUACGGCCAGGGCUACACACGUGCUACAAUGGUCGGUACAAAGGGUUGCUACCUCGCGAGAGGAUGCUAAUCUCAAAAAGCCGAUCGUAGUCCGGAUCGCAGUCUGCAACUCGACUGCGUGAAGUCGGAAUCGCUAGUAAUCGCGGAUCAGAAUGCCGCGGUGAAUACGUUCCCGGGCCUUGUACACACCGCUCGUCACACCAUGGGAGUUUGUUGCACCAGAAGUAGGUAGUCUAACCGCAAGGAGGACGCUUACCACGGUGUGGCCGAUGACUGGGGUGAAGUCGUAACAAGGUAGGCGUAGAUGA